CUGGAAUGAUAGUAUUGAUAUUAGAGAGACAAGUGAGGGUAAGGUAAUACCAUUUAUUCAAUCAGCUUUAGUUGGUGAGAGAGACAAGCUUUUGAGC